rnacentral:other from 15 species
GCACUUCUGCGGGGUGCGUUACCGAAUCCAAUGAUUGAGCCAACGCCGUUGAAAAGGGAGACCGAUGCCGCACGCCAGUGCGCUCCUUCAGUGUUAAGGAAGCGCCAGAGGCUGCGGCUGCGCUAAAGGUCACCCACCUGUCUGUUGCAGGUUCAAAUCACGGCUUCGGGACGGCCAUUGCGGAAGCCCU